AGAGUUUGAUCCUGGCUCAGAAUCAACGCUGGCGGCGUGCCUAACACAUGCAAGUCGAACGAGAAAGUGGAGCAAUCCAUGAGUAAAGUGGCGCACGGGUGAGUAACACGUGACUAACCUACCUUUUAGUGGGGGAUAACCUAGGGAAACCUGGGCUAAUACCGCAUAAUACCUACGGGUCAAAGCAGCAAUGCGCUGGAAGAGGGGGUCGCGGUCGAUUAGUUAGUUGGCAGGGUAAUGGCCUACCAAGACUGUGAUCGAUAUCCGGCCUGAGAGGGCGCACGGACACACUGGAACUGAAACACGGUCCAGACUCCUACGGGAGGCAGCAGUGGGGAAUUUUGCGCAAUGGGGGAAACCCUGACGCAGCAACGCCGCGUGGAGGAUGAAGUCCCUUGGGACGUAAACUCCUUUCGAUCGGGACGAUAAUGACGGUACCGGAAGAAGAAGCCCCGGCUAACUUCGUGCCAGCAGCCGCGGUAAUACGAGGGGGGCAAGCGUUGUUCGGAAUUAUUGGGCGUAAAGGGUGCGUAGGUGGUUCGGCAAGUCUUGUGUGAAAUCUUCAGGCUCAACUUGAAGUCUGCACAAGAAACUGCCGGGCUUGAGUAUGGGAGAGGUGAGUGGAAUUUCCGGUGUAGCGGUGAAAUGCGUAGAUAUCGGAAGGAACACCUGUGGCGAAAGCGGCUCACUGGACCAUUACUGACACUGAGGCACGAAAGCUAGGGG
rnacentral:rRNA from 1 species